GGAAGAGCAGGGAAGAUCAACAGGAGGGAAGCAGGCAAAGGAUUUUAUAAGGAACUGGGGAGAUACGAGAAGCUCUGCAGAGAAUAAUGGAAAAGAACGGCAAAACAAGACAUACACAGCAAGUCCAAGAAACACAACAGAAUCAAUGAAAGGCAGCAUCCAACAGGACGAACAAACUGAUGUGCAAAAAGACAACAAACUAUGCGAAUACAAAAGAGGGAAAAAAACGUAACAAAUACAAAGCAAUAAAUAUCAAAAACAUCAGAUGAAGAAUCCUUGAGAGUCCAAAAGUUGUGAGAACAGUUCAGUGAUAUGGGUGUAAAAAGGUACCCGAAAAAGUAUCACAUUUGUGUGAAGUCACCUAAGCUGCAAAGAAACAGUAUAAAUGAAGAGAAUAGUCCAGAUUUCUUUGGAAUGGUCCAGGAACUUCAAUAAGAAUGACAUAAAGAUGGGACACUAGAAUCCAUUCCUCCGCCUUCGAUUUCUGCAACAGAUGAAUGAUUAAUCUGUGGCUCCUGUGUAUGCCUUUCUAGUUUAUAGGAACUAUACCUUUG